UUUAUCGGAGAGUUUGAUCCUGGCUCAGGACGAACGCUGGCGGCGUGCCUAAUACAUGCAAGUCGAGCGGACAGAUGGGAGCUUGCUCCCUGAUGUUAGCGGCGGACGGGUGAGUAACACGUGGGUAACCUGCCUGUAAGACUGGGAUAACUCCGGGAAACCGGGGCUAAUACCGGAUGGUUGUUUGAACCGCAUGGUUCAAACAUAAAAGGUGGCUUCGGCUACCACUU
rnacentral:rRNA from 1 species